GCCCCUGGGGAAGGAAGGCAACACUGAGUCAUCCUCACGAGCAGCAGUGGGCAGGUCCCGUCACUGUGGAGUGCAGCGCCCCCACACCCCAGGGCAGGCUUUGGGGACAUUGUCUCUGCCCACCAUGUGAAAAACUGCAUUCACAACAUAAGAGAUGCCUUCAGAGAAUUUUUGUAACAACACAGACGCACUAAUCAUUCUAGGGACAUCCCAAUCAUCACUGUUCACCUGACGCUAUCAUCGAGGUCUCAGCACUUCCACCCUUUCCUUCCACAUCAGCCCGCUUCCUGCUCUAACACAGAUGCCCUGCACGAGCAGGCACAACAGACUCUAACCCUGCCAGUGCUCAGCAGGUGUGGGACACCAGCACACCUUCCUAGCUUCUCACCUCUAUGGGGAUGUAAAGCAUAAAGCCCGGCUCUCCCGUGUGAGUCAUGCUCAUCACCCGGAUCCCGUUGGCAUAGCCCACACUCAUCUCCUGUGGAAACAAAGGGAGAUAGCGUCAAAACUCCAAGGGAAGUGGAUGGUGUCUGAGGCCAACCCCUCUCCUUAGCUCUGCACCCUUUGUCUGACCCUAAAAGAGACAUGUGAAUGAAAGACUUCCAUCCUCAAAAUGAUCCGCUUUCAGGUCUCCAGGUCAUUAGGGAUGGAACAAAGCCUUUACAAUGUCUUUUCUUUGAGUAUCACCAAUAUCAGGAGUGCUAGCCAAGCUGCUGAUGGAAGUGGAGGCAAAGUCUUGACAAACAGGAAACAUUACUUUUUGCAAAGUCCAGCUAAAGAUUUGUUUUAGGUGCAUAGGGAGCAAUGAAGACCAGACAGUCUCCUCUGGGGCACUCGGAAGACAGUCCUAGGCACCUGCCCACAAAGGAUGAUGUCUGGUGCCCAGAGAACAAGGUUCACCUGUCAUCCUGGGGUCUGAUGUUCAGAACGUGUUCACAGCAGCUCCGUUACCUCUGUCUCAAUUCCUGUUCCUGUGAAGGAAAGUGCUAAGUCCCAGGUGGCACUAAAGCAAACUUUCCACAGGAAGUCGGGCAUCACAUGGUGCUCUGCAGGCACACACGGAUGCAUCACUCAUCAAGAAGCAAGACAUGCCCUGACUGGUUUGGCUCAGUGGAUGAAGUGUCGGCCUGCAGACUGAGGGGUCCCGGGUUCGGUUCCAGUCAAGGGCAUGUACCUUGGUUGCAGGCACAUCCCUAGUGGGGGGUAUGCA